UGGAGUCUUUUAAGCCUAUGCAGUCUUC
rnacentral:piRNA from 1 species